GACGAACGCUGGCGGCGUGCCUAAUACAUGCAAGUUGAGCGCUGAAGGUUGGUACUUGUACCAACUGGAUGAGCAGCGAACGGGUGAGUAACGCGUGGGGAAUCUGCCUUUGAGCGGGGGACAACAUUGGGAAACGAAUGCUAAUACCGCAUAAAAACUUUAAACACAAGUUUUAAGUUUGAAAGAUGCAAUUGCAUCACUCAAAGAUGAUCCCGCGUUGUAUUAGCUAGUUGGUGAGGUAAAGGCCCACCAAGGCGAAGAUACAUAGCCGACCUGAGAGGGUGGUCGGCCAAAUUGGGAAUGAGACAAGGCCCAAACGCCUACGGGAGGCAGCAGUAGGGAAUCUUCGGCAAUGGACGAAAGUCUGAACGAGCAACGCCGCGUGGGUGAAGAAGGUUUUCGGAUCGUAAAACUCUGUUGGUAGAGAAGAAAGUUGGUGAGAGUGGAAAGCUCAUCAAGUGACGGUAACUACCCAGAAAGGGACGGCUAACUACGUG
rnacentral:rRNA from 1 species